UCAGUUAUAGACAGUUCUUUUCCGACCAGAGCCACCCACUCUGUAACGGAACAGUAAAAAAACCGACCUCACCAGUCGGUUUUUUUAC
rnacentral:antisense_RNA from 1 species